GGGAGGAAAUCAACGCCCACUUGGCACUUGGGAGGAAAUUAGUGUUCUGGGCCCUGUGCUCUUGCCUAGAGGAGCCCACCCUUUGCUUUUGCUUUCCCCAUUUUUCUCAACUAUGUUCCACGGGUCACAACUUUUCUUUCAAUUUUCACACGUAAACGUUGCUUUUAUUCAUUUUGAAAGGCCCAACGCAAGAAUAAUGCUUACAUACCUUUAAUUUAUCAACGUAACGUACAGCCUGUACCUGAUAAUGUACACUCUCAAUUCUGGAUGAGUUAUGAGACAAGAUAGGGGAGGACACAAAGAUUGCAGCCACAUGAAAAAUGCCCCAUUGUACACUUGCCAGCAGGCAUGGCAUCACCAGGCUUUCCAGCUCUGCUGACAUACCCCUUGGCUCCAUUAUCACACAGACUGUCUUACCUGAAAGAAUUAUGUCUUGCCUGUGAUCUUAUUUGACUGAGAAGCAAAUCAUCAACAAAAGAAUUUCUAGAAAACAGGACGGCGUCUUAUGAAUUAAAGAAAGGCUAAAUUCAAACAAGUGCUCCCAGGGAGAUCAAAGUGCUCCCUCAUGUGCCUUCUGUGUAUGUCACAGGCUGAUGCUGAAGGCCAGAAAAAUGUGUAUGUAUAAAUUAUUUUAGAGCUUGUCUCUUCUUGUUGCCAACUCUAAUACUUUUUCUCCCUGAAAUAAAACCUCUGUCAGUGA